UAUACAGAAAACAAUAUCUAUAUAAUUCUCAUAAUAGGGUUGAGAAGUUUCUACGAGAGAACCAUAAAUUCUCUGUCUAUGGAUGUU
rnacentral:ncRNA from 1 species